rnacentral:rRNA from 1 species
UACGUAGGGUGCGAGCGUUGUCCGGAAUUAUUGGGCGUAAAGGGCUCGUAGGCGGUUUGUCGCGUCGGGAGUGAAAACCUCGGGCUUAACUCGGGGCUUGCUUUCGAUACGGGCAGACUGGAGGUAUGCAGGGGAGAACGGAAUUCCAGGUGUAGCGGUGAAAUGCGUAGAUAUCUGGAGGAACACCGGUGGCGAAGGCGGCAUCCUGGACCAAUUCUGACGCUGAGGAGCGAAAGCCAGGGGAGCAAACGGG